UACGUAGGGUGCAAGCGUUAAUCGGAAUUACUGGGCGUAAAGCGUGCGCAGGCGGUUUUGUAAGACAGGCGUGAAAUCCCCGGGCUCAACCUGGGAAUGGCGCUUGUGACUGCAAGGCUGGAGUGCGGCAGAGGGGGAGUGGAAUUCCGCGUGUAGCAGUGAAAUGCGUAGAUAUGCGGAGGAACACCAAUGGCGAAGGCAAAUCCCCUCGGGCGUCGCACUGACGCUCAUGCACGAAAGACGUGGGGAGGCAAACAAGGAG
rnacentral:rRNA from 1 species